UGCGUAGGUGGUAGCGUGUGUCGGAUGUGAAAUCUUACUGUUCAUCGGUAAAACUGCAUUCGAAACUACGCUUCUAGAGUAUGGGAGAGGAAAGCGGAAUUCUUGGUGUAGCGGUGAAAUGCGUUGAUAUCAAGAAGAACGCCGGAGGCGAAGGCGGCUUUCUGGACCAAAACUGACGCUGAGGCACGAAAGCCAAGGGAGCAAACA
rnacentral:rRNA from 1 species